UGGGGAAUUUUGCACAAUGGGCGCAAGCCUGAUGCAGCGACGCCGCGUGAGGGAUGAAGGCCUUCGGGUUGUAAACCUUUUUCGCUCAUGGUCAAGCCGCAGCUUUGGGUUGUGGUGAGGGUAGUGGGUAAAGAAGCGCCGGCUAACUACGUGCCAGCAGCCGCGGUAAUACGUAGGGCGUGAGCGUUGUCCGGAAUUAUUGGGCGUAAAGGGCUUGUAGGCGGUUGGCCGCGUCUGCCGUGAAAUCCUCUGGCUUAACUGGGGGCGUGCGGUGGGUACUGGUUGACUUGAGUGCGGUAGGGGAGACUGGAAUUCCUGGUGUAGCGGUGGAAUGCGCAGAUAUCAGGAGGAACACCGGUGGCGAAGGGGGGUCUCUGGGCCGUUACUGACGCUGAGGAGCGAAAGCGUGGGGAGCGAACAGG
rnacentral:rRNA from 1 species